ACGGGUGAGUAAUAUAUCGGAACGUGCCCUAGAGUGGGGGAUAACUAGUCGAAAGAUUAGCUAAUACCGCAUACGAUCUAAGGAUGAAAGUGGGGGAUCGCAAGACCUCAUGCUCCUGGAGCGGCCGAUAUCUGAUUAGCUAGUUGGUGGGGUAAAAGCCUACCAAGGCGACGAUCAGUAGCUGGUCUGAGAGGACGACCAGCCACACUGGGACUGAGACACGGCCCAGACUCCUACGGGAGGCAGCAGUGGGGAAUUUUGGACAAUGGGGGCAACCCUGAUCCAGCAAUGCCGCGUGAGUGAAGAAGGCCUUCGGGUUGUAAAGCUCUUUUGUCCGGGAAGAAACGGUUCCAGCUAAUAUCUGGAGCUAAUGACGGUACCUGAAGAAUAAGCACCGGCUAACUACGUGCCAGCAGCCGCGGUAAUACGUAGGGUGCAAGCGUUAAUCGGAAUUACUGGGCGUAAAGCGUGCGCAGGCGGUUGUGUAAGUCAGAUGUGAAAUCCCCGGGCUCAACCUGGGAAUUGCAUUUGAGACUGCACGGCUAGAGUGUGUCAGAGGGGGGUAGAAUUCCACGUGUAGCA
rnacentral:rRNA from 1 species